rnacentral:rRNA from 1 species
UGGGGAAUAUUGCACAAUGGGGGAAACCCUGAUGCAGCAACGCCGCGUGGGUGAAGGAGCGUUUCGGCGCGUAAAGCCCUGUCAGCGGGGAAGAAGAAAGACGGUACCCGACCAAGAAGCCCCGGCUAACUACGUGCCAGCAGCCGCGGUAAUACGUAGGGGGCGAGCGUUAUCCGGAAUUACUGGGUGUAAAGGGAGCGUAGACGGCGAGGUAAGCCUGAAGUGGAAGCCCGCGGCCCAACCGCGGAACUGCUUUGGGAACUGUUUUGCUGGAGUAUGGGAGGGGUAAGCGGAAUUCCUGGUGUAGCGGUGAAAUGCGUAGAUAUCAGGAGGAACACCGGUGGCGAAGGCGGCUUACUGGACCAUAACUGACGUUGAGGCUCGAAAGCGUGGGGAGCGA